rnacentral:rRNA from 1 species
AGAGUUUGAUCCUGGCUCAGGACGAACGCUGGCGGCGUGCUUAACACAUGCAAGUCGAACGGACCGACAUGGAAGCUUGCUUCUAUGAAGGUUAGUGGCGAACGGGUGAGUAACGCGUAAUCAACCUGCCCAUCAGAGGGGGACAACAGUUGGAAACGACUGCUAAUACCGCAUACGAUCCAAUCUCGGCAUCGAGACUGGAUGAAAGGUGGCCUCUAUUUAUAAGCUAUCACUGAAGGAGGGGAUUGCGUCUGAUUAGCUAGUUGGAGGGGUAACGGCCCACCAAGGCGAUGAUCAGUAGCCGGUCUGAGAGGAUGAACGGCCACAUUGGGACUGAGACACGGCCCAAACUCCUACGGGAGGCAGCAGUGGGGAAUCUUCCGCAAUGGACGAAAGUCUGACGGAGCAACGCCGCGUGAGUGAUGACGGCCUUCGGGUUGUAAAGCUCUGUUAAUCGGGACGAAUGGUUCUUGUGCGAAUAGUGCGAGGAUUUGACGGUACCGGAAUAGAAAGCCACGGCUAACUACGUGCCAGCAGCCGCGGUAAUACGUAGGUGGCAAGCGUUGUCCGGAAUUAUUGGGCGUAAAGCGCGCGCAGGCGGAUCUGCCAGUCUGUCUUAAAAGUUCGGGGCUCAACCCCGUGAUGGGAUGGAAACUACAGAUCUAGAGUAUCGGAGGGGAAAGUGGAAUUCCUAGUGUAGCGGUGAAAUGCGUAGAUAUUAGGAGGAACACCAGUGGCGAAGGCGACUUUCUGGACGAAAACUGACGCUGAGGCGCGAAAGCCAGGGGAGCGAACGGGAUUAGAUACCCCGGUAGUCCUGGCCGUAAACGAUGGGUACUAGGUGUAGGAGGUAUCGACCCCUUCUGUGCCGGAGUUAACGCAAUAAGUACCCCGCCUGGGGAGUACGACCGCAAGGUUGAAACUCAAAGGAAUUGACGGGGGCCCGCAC